UACAGAGGUCUCAAGCGUUGUUCGGAUUCAUUGGGCGUAAAGGGUGCGUAGGCGGCGCGGUAAGUCGGGUGUGAAAUCUCGGAGCUUAACUCCGAAACUGCAUUCGAUACUGCCGUGCUUGAGGACUGGAGAGGAGACUGGAAUUUACGGUGUAGCGGUGAAAUGCGUAGAUAUCGUAAGGAAGACCAGUGGCGAAGGCGGGUCUCUGGGCAACAACUGACGCUGAGGAGCGAAAGCGUGGGAGCGAACAGG
rnacentral:rRNA from 1 species